AUCUCUUCGUCGUUGAAGCCCUCCAGGCCGCAAAUCUCGCAUGUGUAGUUCAUCUCUGGCGGUUUGCUGGAUGCCAUUUUCAGCGAGUUUGUUUCUGUAUUUUGGAAGGAUGCUUUGUGAAAUAUAGAAAAGUUACGUAGAUGGAAACAUUUUCGGAUUGAACGCACAAUAUAGAACAAAGCGAUUUCACAAUCAGAUGAUGCCUAAUGCCGUAUCGCGACGUCGAAACGGCGAGUCAAUCGAUGGACUCUCGCCAGCCGAAGGCCAGC